rnacentral:rRNA from 1 species
UACGGGGGGGGCAAGCGUUGUUCGGAAUUACUGGGCGUAAAGGGCUCGUAGGCGGCCAACUAAGUCGGACGUGAAAUCCCUCGGCUUAACCGGGGAACUGCGUCCGAUACUGGAUGGCUUGAGUUUGGGAGAGGGAUGCGGAAUUCCAGGUGUAGCGGUGAAAUGCGUAGAUAUCGGAAGGAACACCUGUGGCGAAGGCGGCCAUCUGGACGGUAACUGACGCUGAGACGCGAAAGCGUGGGUAGCAAACAGG